AUUUCAGCUCGGUGGCCCGUACACCCAAUCAGAGCACGACUUUCGAGGGGAAAGUAAUAGUGUUAGCCCUAGCAACAAGUUUUUAGCUGUGAGGGAUUUAUGUCAUGUAUGUCAACAUUACAGAAUGCUGAAAGACUGAUAGCAUUUGAAAUUUUUUUCUAGUCAGGAAAAAAAUGUAGCUCUGUUUUAAAAUUCCUAUCACUACUUUGCUAACAAUAGCAAAGGAGCGAAAUGAGCUAACCUUCGGAGCAGCUUUUCAAAGACUGAAAGGAGCAUUGUCAUCUUGGAUGAAACCACUCCCAUCAAGAUAGAAAUCAUUCAUCCCAGGAUAAAGACGAUCCCUGAAAACAACUUUCUAUUGAUUUGCAGUGCCUCUUUUCUCAACAAGGGAGGACUGUUAACUGACAAGCUUCGAGCAUUUGGCAAGAUGUUAUCCAGCAGCAGAGCUCAUCUACAGCUCUGACAGCCCAAAGCACCUGCCAAAGGAUCUCCUUACCUUCGCUAUCUGCUAUGAUUUUCAGAGCACAUCCUGUAAAAGCAGAAGAAUAAAAGCAGCGUAUUAUGGAAAAG
ensembl:lncRNA